AGACUAAAGGAGCACAGCACACAUGAUAAGCAAUUUGGACAAUCAUCUGACCAUGUGACAGUUCCUUGAGAAGCUUGGCAUGGUUGCUGAGAUCCUAGCAGCUGAAGAACUACCUUCUUCAUACCAAGUUUGGCAUCUUCGGUGUCAGAAGCAGGCACUGCCAUUGAAUUUGUUCAUCCACUUCCAGAAUAGAAGAAUAAUAAAAUUUAAAGUUGGAAGGAACCUUAAAGGUCUUCUCCUCUUCAGUGCAGGAAUCUACUACAGCCCCCACACACAUUUUUAAUCUUCAUGUUACAUUUUGUCCUUGGGUAUUGGUACGAAACUUUGAAAUAUAAAGUAAGAAUCAACUCUGAAGAUGGAAUCAAUGAGAGGAGAGGAGAAGAGAAGGUAUCAAAUGUGGGAACAAAAACUUUGAGGUGCACAGAAGACAAUUUAUUGCCUAAUACACACAAUAAAGUAUGAACACUUUUCCUCAGGGGAGACUUUCAGUUAUUUCAAAGAGAAAUCAAAACUAUUUUGUCUCCUACCCCAUCUCAUUAUACAGAUGGUGAGGAAGACAAGACAGGUCUGGUUUCCCUUUGAAAGAGCUGAAUCAGAGUUGCUCCAGAGGAAAAAUCUUAAUACAACAUAGUAGGCAGUAAACUGUCUUCAGCUUAAACUGUCUUCAGUCAGCCCUGGAUAUUAUAAUGGCUUGUCUGAUAAACACUGAGAACUGUUCUAGAAGGCUUGCUUACUUUCUAAAUUAAUAACAUUAAUAAUGAUUUUUAAGCACCUGAAACAAAAAUCUGCUGUACAAACAUAAAAAUUCAGAUCUUGUUUGCAAUCUAAAUAGGCAAGACACAAAAGGAAAAGGAAGUUAUCCUAAUUUGCAGUAAGGAAGCAAUAUUGAAAUGAUUCCCAAAUUUGUGUCAUUUCUUGCAGUAGGUCUAUGCCUUCCCUUCUCUGACUUGUUCUAUAUUUUAGUAUAUGUGUCAUGGAAGCAAGUCCAAGAGAGCCACUCCCCUCUCCAGCCUGCCUGCAAAAUCUGGCUUAAGCCUUAAGAGAUCUUAAGUUCUGCACACACCUUCCUUGCUCUGUGUGCCCCACCUCCAGGAUUCGAUUCAUGCUGAGAUUAGGAGUGGAUCCCAGGCACACACAUUUCCCCACCUCGCUUCCCGUCACAGGUAGAAGUUACCAACUGUUCAAUAAUUCAACUGAUUCUUGUGGGAAAGUACUCAUUGAGUGGGUCAUGCAUCAUUUAAUGAAUGAAGUUUGUAUUUAUAAUUGCGUUAAUAUUUUAACAUUGAUAUGGCAUUGCUUUUCUUUUACAAAGUACAGAUGAACACAGAAGUCCAGCAAUACUCCCUCCUAAUAGAAAUUUCACAAAAAUGUACUUUACCUGUGAAACUGUUCAAAUAAGUUCUUUGGUAUGAAGUUGAAUAUAUUGUACUUUGUAGUCCGUAUUCUGUUAUUCCUAUAAUAUUUUGAUACUUUCCCAUAUUCUUCUUUAAAUUUCCCCAUGCACGGUAUAACAAUCCUGUGCUUGCUGGUUGUCUUGGAUAGCUUAGAAAACUCAUCACCAUUCUUGGUACUGUCAUCAACUCUGCCUCUUGCAACUAACAAGCGCCGCCAGCGAGAUCUGGCCCAUCGAAGAAGUCCUGCCAUCUGCAACCUAAGCUGUGUCCUUAACAGCUUUUUAAAAAGAAAUUACAAAGAGUGGUGAAUUAAUACAUUACAAGCAAGAAAAAGUCACCAUGUUGUUUUGAGAAAAUCCAGUUUAGAGAAAGCCAUUUUUAACUUUAGGAUACCAAAAUUGUAACUCUAGAUAUUAACCGUUUAUGGCACAAUACUGCUAAAUAAACAUCAUUUGUUUGUUUGUUUGUUUGUUUGAGGUUUCAGUUCAGACCAGAGGACAACUAUUUCUGGGUUAACA